rnacentral:rRNA from 1 species
AGCAGCCGCGGUAAUUCCAGCUCCAAUAGCGUAUAUUAAAGUUGUUGCAGUUAAAAAGCUCGUAGUUGAACUUCAGGCCUGGCUGGACGGUCCGCCCUCUGGGUGAGCACUGUCUGUGGUCGGGUCCUACCUUCUGGCGAAGCGGCAUGGCCUUAACCGGCCGUGGCGGGGAACCAGGACUUUUACUGUGAAAAAAUUGAGUGUUCAAAGCAGGCACGCGCUUGAAUACAUUAGCAUGGAAUAAUGGAAUAGGACAAUGGUUCUAUUUGUUGGUUUCUAGGACCGUUGUAAUGAUUAAUAGGGAUAGUUGGGGGCAUUAGUAUUCAAUUGUCAGAGGUGAAAUUCUUGGAUUUAUUGAAGACUAACUACUGCGAAAGCAUUUGCCAAGGAUGUUUUCAUUAANCAAGAACGAAAGUUAGGGAUCGAAGACGAUCAGAUACCGUCGUAGUCUUAACCAUAAACUAUGACCGACUAGGAAUCGGGGCGAAUGUUAGAACAAAUGAACGCGCGUCCGGCACCU